GUAAAGCUCCCAGGGCAAAAACACCUAGAGAGAAGUUCAGGAGUUAAACAGCAAAUGUUACUGACUAUACCUCUCCCAUUGCAUGGUCAGAUAAUUUUCUAAAUAAAGUACACCACUGGCAUCCUAUCAUCCAUUCUAUUUUAAGUCCCUGAUCAUUUAUGCUUAGAAAUAGAAGUGCAGAAGAAUGGAAACUGAAGAUUAUUGUAACUGCCUCUAACUGCUGUGGGAGAUGGUUCAAGUUCCUUCAAAAUUAGAUGAAGGUAAUUUCAGAGGCGCCAAUGACCAGGCCCAGACUGCCUGCAGCAUCCAGUUUCCUCCUUCCUGCUGGAGGGAAGAUCCAAUGUGCGAGAGUGGAAAAAGUAAAGCCCCCAAAGGAGACCUGGAGGUACCUGAAGCGUGGCUGCCUGGCCUGUGAGCCUGUUGGGAUGGGUACAGAAGGAUUUUGGCGAUUUAGAGCCCUACAGAGAGGUAUUACACCUACCCACAUGAGUUGUGAUCUCAUGGGAUAACUUCAAGGACUCUAGCUAAGGAAUUAUAACUUCCUCUUUGAUCUGGAGACUGUCUGGUAGGACUUUAUAUUAAAUUUGGCUCAAAAAUCAACAAACAUUCCCAUGUCAAUGACCACAGAGAAGCAGCCCCCAGACCCCCACAAACCGCAUGGAAGAAGACAAAAACCUUUGAUCUACAGCAAGACUGGGAUUGUGGCAGUGACCUGAAUUUUCUUCAACACAGAAACUGAUUUUUUUCCCAGCCUUGUUUAUUUAAAUAUGCUUAGUCAUAUGUCUGUGCUUAUGGCAAAUGUUCUAUUCACACUGAUGUCGUCUGCAUUAAAAUAAAGCUUUUGGUUUCCCACCUUGCACAUCCUGUUCUCAAUGCUUCUGAGGUUCUACUGCAGAGUUUUGGAUUCUCUUAAUAGACAGAUUUGGUGAAAUUUCUGCAGCAUUAACAUGUGAAGCUGCCACGGCUCCUCUACUUUUGUUGACAUUGCUCUAAAAGCAGCUGACACCAAAGCAAUUUCUCUAUUUUCCCCUCUUGGCACACCCAUGAACAAUCCCCAUCAUGCCCUUGAACAUCUGCAUCAUCAUCUUCAUGGUCCAGAAGGAGCAUCAAGGAGUGAAAGGUCUUUCUCAAGACAAAGCAGAGACAAAGAAGGCUUUUAAUCAGUUCUAAAGCAGAAUGUGUGAAGUGUUUUCCAUAUUGAAGUGCUUAAUACAUGUAUGGUCAAUUUCAAAAAUUUUUUUUCCUUUUUUUUUAGGAGCAACGUCACUGGUUGUUAAGCUCUACAGUUCCUAUAAAUGCCACAGUGUUGCCAUGGUGACAGUAUGCUUUCACAAGCUUUCAGAUAUAGCAGAACAUAUCUUUAUUCAUGAUAUUUGGCUGCUACUUUAGUCUCAUAAGGCAGGCAUUAUAUAUAUAUUACACCAUUGAUAGCACCACUUCUGUAUUCUAUCACUAUUUUUGGUUAGGCUUUGCCAACAGAAUGAGAUCUUUGGUUUUUUGCUUUGCUUUUUUAUUUAUUCUUGCUUUGGACAGGUUUUUUUACAACUUGAAAAUUGUCCUUUUUUCUACAGAAUCUCAUUUUGAGGUUUUCAGAAUAUUUUCAUUAAAGCCUUCUAAUCAAUUUGGAUAGAUUUAAAAAAAAAAAUCUCACUUGUGCAAAGUUUAACCCUGUAAAAAAAAAAAAAAAAAAAAACAAAUCUUGCUGGUAUUUUCUGUGUUUUGUCUUUUACAAGCAAAGUUGCAUAACCAGAAAGGAGUGACCACAAAGCAUUACUGUGCAUGGGGCAGUUGUGUAAAAAUGAUAUUCCUCCUCUGUUUACCAUCUGGAUUUCCUGGUGCCAGAAAUCCAAUGUGCCUGUGCACUGUACCUUGCUGCUUUUCUUUAUUAAACAUGAUUAGCACAAGGCCAUUAUUUUUUUUCUCCUCCUACCUUGUCAUUUCAGAGUGGAAUGCCAUAGAGUUUUAUGCCUUAGCACUAAUUUUUUUCCCUGUAGUUUUUCCUUCUGUUUAGGGUUCCCAGUUCUGUCUGCCUGUUGCCAAAGCUUUUCUACUCCUAUGAAGGGUCACUGCCAGAUGUAAUCAAGCAAGAAGACACUGCAGUGGCCCAGGUAACAAAAUAUAAAAUCAGCGUUUUAAAUCUGUUGAGGAGUUGUGAUUUUCAUUUCAUCUUUCCUUUCCCCUGUCGUUUACAGGCUACCUGGUCAAUAUUAUUAUUUUUUGUCAUUGUAAUUUCUUACUGUAAACAUAGAAAAAUCAGUUCCUUUAGUGUGCAAUCACAUCCAUUAACCCUAAGUGAGUUGUGCACAAAAAUGCGGCUUAUUUCCCUGAGAUACUCUGGUAUGUUGGCCCUACAUAUCUCACUGGCAAUUAUUUUAACACAGUGUAAAUUUACCAUAUGAUGCAAUGCUCUCAGCUUUUCUGAGCUUCUCUCUGGACCAUAUAGAAAAUGGCUGUUAUUAAAGUAGCAUAAUGCUUGUGUACAGAUUAAUGAAAAUUAAAGG